AUUGAACGCUGGCGGCAGGCCUAACACAUGCAAGUCGAGCGGAGCGGCGGACGGGUGAGUACUGCCUAGUAAUCUGCCUGUUAGUGGGGGAUAACGUCCGGAAACUGGCGCUAAUACCGCAUAAUAUCAGAUGAGCCUAGGUCGGAUUAGAUAGUUGGGGGGGUAAAGGCCUACCAAGGCGACGAUCCGUAACUGAUCUGAGAGGAUGAUCAGUCAACCUGGAACUGAGACACGGUCCAGACUCCUAUGGGAGGCAGCAGUGGGGAAUAGUGGACAAUGGGCGAAAGCCUGAUCCAGCCAUGCCGCGUGUGUGAAGAAGGUCUUCGGAUUGUAAAGCACUGUAAGUUGGGAGGCGUUACCAACAGAAUAAGCACCGGCUAACGUCGUGCCAGCAGCCGAGGUAAUUC
rnacentral:rRNA from 1 species